CAACAGCAACCCUCUUUGGGUCCCCUCUCUUUGUGUGGGAGCUCUGUUUUCACUCUAUUUCACUCUAUUAAAUCUUGUAACUGCACUCUUCUGGUCCAUGUUUGUUAUGGCUCGAGCUAAGCUUUCGCUCGCCAUCCACCACUGCUGUUUGCCGCCACCGCAGACCCGCCACCGCAGACCCGCCACCGACUCCCAUCCCUCCGGAUCCAGCAGGGUGUCCGCUGUGCUCCUGAUCCAGCGAGGCGUCCAUUGCCACUCCCAAUCAGGCUAAAGGCUUGCCAUUGUUCCUGCACAGCUAAGUGCCUGGGUUCAUCCUAAUCGAGCUGAACACUAGUCACUGGGUUCCACGGUUCUCUUCCGUGACCCACGUCUUCUAAUAGAGCUAUAACACUCACCGCGUGGCCCAAGAUUCCAUUCCUUGGAAUCUGUGAGGCCAAGAACCCCAGGUAAGAGAACACGAGGCUUGCCACCAUCUUGGAAGUGGCCUGCCACCAUUGUGGAAGUGGCCCACAACCAUCUUGGGAGCUCUGGGACCAAGGACCCCCGGUAACAUUUUGGUGACCACGAAGGGACAUCCAAAGCGGAGUCACUGAAAACAGCUGUGCUUUUGUAAAGCCCUGCAAACUGAAGCUAGACAACUUAAACUUCAGAAGAAGAUAACAGCAACCUAUUUACAUGCAUAAGCCACUUUCAUACCUGCCUACUGAUGUAUGGACUUCAGAAUAACGUGGCCUAUGUAUAUUUUCCAGGAUUGUUCUUUUGUUUGUUGUUUUUCACCCUUCCUCCCCCUAUUUUCUCUUCACAGGACAUGGGAGUUCACAGCCUUCUAAAAAUUAGCUUUCCUAAUAACUUGGGACUUACCUGUCUAGGAAUAAACCAUCCUAGCAUGAGAGAUCAGAUGAAAUCUGGGAUCAAAGACUCAUUUUUCUUCUAAAAUGCUUUCUCCAAAAAAAUUUUUUUAAAAAAAGAAAAGGGGGCAAAUGUAAAGGAAAAUAUCUUGGGCCCCCAAAUCACUAAGUUAAAAGGAAAAUGCAAGCUAGGAACUGCUUAAGGCAAACUUGCCUCCCAUUCUAUUCAAAAUCAUCCCUCUGCUCACUGAGAUAAAUGUGUAUCUGACUGCCUCCUUAGGAAAGGUAAAUCAGAAACUCAAAAGAAUGCAACCAUUUGUCUCCCACCUACCCGUGACCUGGGAGCCCCCUUCCCGCUUCAAGUUGUCCCGCCUUUCCGAACCCAACAAGUGUUCAUUUUACAUAUAUUGAUUGAUGUCUUAUAUCUCCCUAAAAUGUAUAAAACCAAGCUGUGCUCUGACCACCUUGGGCACAUGUUGUCAGGACCUCCUGAGGCUGCGUCACUGCGUGCGCAUCCCCAACCUUGGCAAAAUAAACUUUCUAAAUUAACUGA